AGCAGCUGCAUAUCAAUAAGCGGAGGAAAAGGGUCCGUCUUGAAACACGGACCACCACCUGCAUAUCAAUAAACGUGUUUUAAGGGCCGGACCAUGUACAAGUUCCUUGGAAUAGGACGUCAUAGAGGGUGAAAAUCCCGUACUUGAUGUGGCCGCCCAGUGCUUUGUGAUACACUUUCCAUGAGUCGAGUUGUUUGGGAAUGCAGCUCAAAAUGGGUGGUAAAUUCCAUCUAAAGCUAAAUAUUGGGGAGAGACCGAUAGCGAACAAGUACCGUGAGGGAAAGAUGAAAAGCACUUUGGAAAGAGAGUUAAAUAGUACGUGAAAUUGUCGAAAGGGAAGCGCUUGAAGUUAGACAUGCUAGUUGGAAUUCAGCCUUGCUUUUGCUUGGUGCAUUUUCCGGUUAGCAGGCCAGCAUCAGUUUUGCCUGUCGGAUAAGGGUAGGAGGAAUGUGGCCCCUCGGGGUGUUAUAGCCUCUUACUGGAUACGACGGGUGGGACUGAGGACAGCAGUGCGCCUUUAUGGCGGGCCUUCGGGCACCUUCGCACUUAGGAUGCUGGCGUAAUGGCUUUAAGCGACCCGUCUUGAAACACGGACCA
rnacentral:rRNA from 1 species